UUUUUAUUUUUAUUUUUUCUUUGUCUUUUGUCUUUUCUAGGCCCACUCCCGCAGCAUAUGGAGGUUCCCAGGCUAGGUCUUGAGUGUAGCUGCAUCUGCCUGCCUACACCACAGCCACAGCAAUGCCAGAUCCUUAAGUCACUAAGCAAGGCCAGGGAUCGAACCCACAUCCUUAUGGAUACUAGUUGGGUUCACUUCUGCUGAGCCACGACGGGAACUCCCAAACUUGUGUGUUUUAUCUUAUGCAUCAGUCCACUUUCUUAUUUAACUGCUGUCAUCUUCCAAUUGCUCAAGGUAGAUAUUAAACCUACAGAUCUUAAGCCUUUUUUUCUGCCAAAAAUGCACAAAAACCUUCACAUUUUCUCUAAAUAAGGCUUUAACUGAAUCCAACUAGAGCUGAAAUAAUGCAUUUUUGUUAUCACUAAAUUCAAAAUAUUUUCUAAUUUCCAUCAUGAUUUUUCCUUUGACCCAUAAUUAUUUAUAAGUUUAUUCCUUAAUUUUCAAAUGAACAUGUGGGAUUUUUUCCUCAUUAUCUCUUAUCACUGGGUUUUGGUUUAAGUAAAUUAUGGUCAAAAUAUACACUCUGUAUGAUUUCAAUUUAUUGAAAUAUAUUGAGACAUCUUUAUUUUAUGGCCAGAAUAUGGUUAAUUUUUAUAAAUGUUUUUCAUGCAUUUAAAAAUAAUAUAUCUUCUUUGUUAUUGGGUGCAGUUUUUUAAAUAUAUCCAAGAGUUCCCACCAUGGCACAGUAGGUUAAGAAUCUGACUACAGCAGCUCGGGUUGCUGUGGAGGCACAGGUUCGAUCCCUGGCCUGGUGCAGAGAGUUAAAGGAUCUGGUAUUGUCACAGCUGUGGCUCUGAUUCAGUCCCUGGCCUGGGAACUUUCAUAUGCUGAGGGUGUGCCAUAAAAUUAAAAAAAAAUUUUAAUAAAAAAAUAAAUAAAAUAUAUCCAUAAGAUCCACUUUGCUAAUUGCUGACAUGAUUUAACCCUUCUUGAUCUCACACCUUCAAUAAGUCUUUCUAUUACUUAAUGAGUUGUUUUAUCAGAUAAUAAGAGAGAUGUUUUUCAAAUUCCCCCUAUGGUUGUGAGUUUGACCUUCUCAAUGUCAAUGUGUCAGCUUGUAUUUACUCCAACUGAAGCGGCCUGAAAUUUUUACAUCUUCCAGGUGACUUGAAAGUUUUACUUUUGUGAAGCAACCUGUGCAUCGCUGGGAAAACUUCUUAUUUUGAUGUCCACUUUGCUAUUAAUAUAACUACACCCCUUUUUAAAAUUUUAUUUGUCUAGGUUUGCACACUUUCUCUGCUUAAGACACCCUCAGUGUGUUAGUAAUUGUGUCAAGAUGAUCUACAGACAAAAGUAAACCCUGAGGGUUCCACUUAUUAAACAGUUUCAGGAGGUCCCGUCAUGGCUCAGCAGAAAGGAAUCUGACAAGUGUCCAUGGGGACGCAGGUUUGAUCCCCGGCCUUGCUCAGUGGGUUAAGGAUCCUGCGUUGCCAUGAGCUGUGGUGUAGGUCGCAGACGUGGCUCAGAUCCCGCGUUUGCUGCGGCCAGUGGCUACAGCUUUGAUUCGACCCGUAGCCUGGGAAUCUCCAUAUGCCAUGGGUGUGGCUCUAAAAAGAUAGAUAGAUGAUAGAUAGAUAGACAGUUUCAAACAACUGGAUAAACACUUAUGUCCUAAGAACCUGGCACCUGCCGGCCAGCAGGUAGCCUCUCAGUGCCUGGAAUCAGAAAGGACUGCACCCGCUUUGCUUCUACGACCACCAGCAUUUGUGGACAGGACUUGCUUUGAUCCCAGCAGCUGCUGAAAAAUCAGCUUCACAAGAUACAACAUCAUCCUA
rnacentral:lncRNA from 1 species